CAAUAGCGUAUAUUAAAGUUGUUGCAGUUAAAAAGCUCGUAGUUGGAUUUCUGGGAGCGUGCCAAUGUCCGCCUUGUGCGAGCGCAGCGGCGCGCUUCCAUCCUUCUGUUAACGCCUCUUGGCAUUCACUUGCUGGUGGCGGGCUCAGAUAUUUUACCUUGAGAAAAUUAGAGUGUUUCAGGCAGGCUAGGCCGGAAUACAUUAGCAUGGAAUAAUGGAAUAGGACUACGGUCUCUUUGUUGGUUUGAGGGACUGCAGUAAUGAUUAAUAGGGAUAGUUGGGGGCAUUAGUAUUUAAUUGUCAGAGGUGGAAUUCUCAGAUUUGUUAAAGACUAACUUAUGCGAAAGCAUUUGCCAAGGAUGUUUUCAUUAAUCAAGAACGAAAGUUAGGGGAUCAAAGAUGAUUAGAUACCGU
rnacentral:rRNA from 1 species